AGUAGGGAAUAUUGCACAAUGGGCGAAAGCCUGAUGCAGCAACGCCGCGUGUGCGAUGAAGGCCUUCGGGUCGUAAAGCACUUUUCGGGAGGAUGAGAAAGGACAGUACUCCCGGAAUAAGUCUCGGCUAACUACGUGCCAGCAGCCGCGGUAACACGUAGGAGGCAAGCGUUAUCCGGAUUUACUGGGCGUAAAGCGCGUGCAGGUGGUUUGGUAAGUUGGAUGUGAAAUCUCCCGGCUCAACUGGGAGAGGUCGUUCAAAACUGCUAAACUAGAGGACGGUAGAGGAAAGUGGAAUUCCCGGUGUAGUGGUGAAAUGCGUAGAUAUCGGGAGGAACACCAGUGGCGAAAGCGACUUUCUGGCCCGUUCCUGACACUAAGACGCGAAAGCUAGGGUAGCAAACGGGAUUAGAGACCCCGGUAGUCCUAGCCGUAAACGAUGUCAACUAGGCGUUGGUGGGUUAAUAGCCAUCAGUGCCGCAGCUAACGCGAUAAGUUGACCGCCUGGGGACUACGAUCGCAAGAUUA
rnacentral:rRNA from 1 species